AUGAUGAGACUGGGGCUCAAAGAGAUGACAAAAUCAGUAGCUGAGAAACCCAGGGCCCCAUUUCUCAGCUUAAUGUUAUUUCUACUCCUUCUGCAGCCUGCUGUGGGUGUGCUUCAUCUGGGCCCAUUGUGUCCUGAGGGCUUCUGCUCUGGGCCAUCUGCCCUUCCCAUCUCAGUGUCUGCAGUGGAAGAUGCUCAUGUAGGAAUGUCGAAAAGCUGUUCUGAAAAACACAGCUCCUCCCUGUGCCAAACCAGUUGGGCUGGAAUGAACAACUGUUGUUGUAAAUCUCCACUCCGCCUCUUCAACAGCCCCAGAAGGUACAAAAUAGAAUGUUUCAUGAGACCAGCCAGACGGAUUGAAGAAGGCUUGCCUAGGGAGCCCCGUGCGUGAAGAGUAUGGAAACACCCCUUUCUCUCCUCUCUCCUCCGACUCUUUCUUUCAGACAAUUUCUGGGACUGCUGGCAAGAGAACAGCAUGUCAGGGUUCUCUGUGUUCACAACAAAUUCCUUUGUGUCUUUAAGUGGAAAAAUAUUUUAUGACAUGGCAGACCAACUGCUUGUUCUGAGAGUGAUUCACAAAGAAAACUCAUCGACCUAAUGAUUUGUGUCCUCGCCAAGACCGAGGCAGGGAAAAGGAUGAAAAAAAAAAAUGACCCAGAAUCGAAAGUCUGAGAGGAACUUUGGAAGUCACUGAAGGUGCUAGGCUACCUUCCCACAGCGGACUGUGGGACUUUCUCAUUUGCUGCCCAUUAUUUCAAAACUAGUACACAGGUAUCCUUGUCCACAGGGUGAACCACCUGCCCCCAAAUGCCACACACAAAUAUCCUAUCCACUUGGGCUUCAUUUCAGUAUUUUACUUACUAUUUCCUAAGAACGUGCAUUCUCAUCAAGAUGAUGUGUUGCAACUCUUGGGGCUCCAUACACUUAAGAACUAUUAAGAGAGUCUCUUUAGUGCUUCUAGAAUCAGAGGACAUGGACCAAAGGAGGCUCAAGAACCAUCUAGUUCAAUGUACCAUAUACUGCAGGAUUACUUUCUGCAAAAUACGUAGCAGAUGACUUUGAUCCAGUCUUGCCACCACGGGGAGCUCACUGCUUCACAAGGCAGCCCAUGUUAAACAGCUGUGGUUGCUAAGAAGUCCUUUGUUCUCUUGUUGAACAAGUCUGUCUCCCUGUUGCUCCUGACUUCCUUCCGCAACUCCUUCUUUUUUUUCUGUUUUGCUGAGGGAGCUUCACCCUGAGCUAACAUCUGUUACCAAUAUUCCUCUUUUUGCUGGGGAAGAUUGCUCCUGAGCUAACACCCGUGCUCAUCUUCCUCUAUUUUGUAUGUGGGUCGCCACCACAGCAUGGCUGCCAAUGAGUGGCAUAGGUCCACGCCCAGGAACUGAACCUGGGCCACUGAAGCAAAGUGUACUGAACUUAACCACUAGGCCACCAGGCUGGCCUCAGCUCCUUCUUCUUGAUAGACAAUCCUUUAAAUAUUUGAAGAGAGUACUCACAUUUCCCCAAACUUCCUUUUCCAAGCAACACAUCCUAUGUUUUCAGUAAUUUCUUGCGUUUUUCAGAACUCUCCUCAUUCGGUCUUCCUCCUCUGCUCACAUUCUAGUUAUUCUUAAUCCUCUGAUCUUUUUCUUAGGAACUUAUGCCAGCCUGAGUUUCCUUCAUCCUGUUCUUCUGUGAUUUAUUUUUGGACACUAAAUAUAAAACUUUGCUUUUCUUCCAUGUUCAAGUUCAUUCCAUCAAUUUUAACCAAUAUUUGAGAUUGUUGAUGGCAUUUUGAAUCUUGCGUCUGUCUUCUGUGGCACUGGCUAUCUCUCUUGAUUUUUUUCUCUUGCAAUGUUGAUCUUUUCUCUCUUCAUAAAAGUCACUGAUAAAAAAGCUAAAGUUGGGGCAUAGUGAUUAAGUUUGGUGCCUUCCACUUUGGCAGCCUGGGUUUGCAGGUUCAAAUCCCAGGUGCAGACAUAUACCACUCGUCAGCCACACUGUCUCAGCAACCCACACAUAAAGUAGAGGAAGAUUGGCACAGAUGUUAGCUUAGGGCUAAUCUUCUUCAGCAAAAAAAAAAAAAGAAAAAAAAAGUUAAAGUUUAGAAAUAACUCUCUAGAUGUUAUCAGGCUAUUAAUCACACUUCAGAUUCAAUUGUUUGCCCGUUUCAAAUCCAGCUAGCCUUGUAAUCAUCCAGCCUGGAUUUCACCAUACUUUCUUUAAAAAUAUUGUUGGAUGUCUUGUCACAUGUUUUGCUGAAAUCCUUGCAUAACAUGUCCACUGUGGUUUCUUCAUCUAUCAACCAGGAAAUGCUGUCAAUAACAGAACUAAAUCUAGUGAAGGAGCCUAUAUUGGCAGUGAGGGGCGCAGCUUUCUUUUCUAAAUACCCUUCUUGUAAACCUAUUUGCUUUGCUGCCUUUGCUGCUGGCGUCCUCCUGGGUUUCCCUUUGGGGCCCCUUUUCUCCUUUGUUCAGAGUACCAACGUGCCUUUUGUUGACCAUCAGAGAAUUUAUCUGACCCACCCCCUUGGUUCCGACUAGGUUGCCCUCCAAGAUAACACCGAACUUUAAUGGCAGCCCUGUGUGCCUCAACCCAAAGGGUGAGGAAGGGAAGUUUGUGGGAGCUCCAGUAACUGGGGUAAUCAUUCCUAUCUUCUGAGAGGCUGCUUGUUUCGCAGAGCUGGGCCUGCUCCUUGCUUUCUCCUUGUUGUGCCUCUGGCAGCUCUCCCCAUGCAUGCAACCCACUCUCCAAACGCUGCACCCCAACAUGGCAGACAGGUGCACCGGUUGCCCCGUGGGAAUCCUCCAGCUGCCCAGGCAAGGCUUCUUUUAGCCUUGUGGAAAAAGGCCUCGAGGGAUCUUUCCUUCAAUGCUCUUUUCUAAACCAUGCUAAGCAAUGUUAGACCAGUUCUGGUAUUAACAAACCUUCACCUCUUCUUUUUUCUCCUUUCCCGACACUCUUCUUCAUUAGCAAUAAGCAAGAGAGCUCAUUCAUUCAUUCAUUCAGCAGGGUCAAGUACCUACUAUGUGCCAGUCUGAGGUAGGCACUGGGGAUUCAGAGGUGAACAACACAGCAGAACUCUGCCCUCCGAUAGUUGCCUGUACAACUAGGAAGACAGGUUUUAAACAUAUAAAAACAACAGUGUGAGAAGGGGGUUAUGGGAAGUUCAAGGGCAUACCUCAGUCUAGAGCUUGGGCAAUGAUGUGGGAGGUAACGUAGGAAGGGUGGCUGAUCACCUGAGUGCACCUAACAGCCUAAGAGAAGCCAGUUGUCCCUGGGGACCGUGCCCAGAGUUAAGUCCCCCAAAACCCUUCUGAACUCCCCCAAAGUGGAGAGACCCAUAUGUAUCCUGCUAAAGGGAUCUAGUAGGAUCUCAUUUCAUGGCCCAUCUCAAUUUAAACUCUGCGGUUGUCACAGCCUUUGCUGAUCUCCAGAUGAUUCACCCACCUGCCGGGUGAUCUAUUUUUGUAGGAGAAAUGUCCGUAGACCUUUCCUCUCAUGGCUGGAGUCAGCAGCUCUCCCCACUGAGUUUUCCUUUCCUCUCCAAAACACCAGCUGUGCCCAGAAGUGCCCCAGUUGCCUGUUAGAAUUCCUGACUGUUCUAUCCCGGGAGCGUUGGAUUUCAGAACCUGGGGGGGCAGACGUAGUUUUGACGACCCUAACCAUGGCUCCAUUUAUACGGCCCAGCAGGAUCAGUGGAGCGCUCUGUCUUCUAACACCCCCUUCCCAGUGGCAUCGAGGGCUCCUGGCCUGGCCCGCCUCCUAGCACACAGACACCUGGGUCCUGCAGAUCCUAUGCAGCCAGAAGAAAGGCAGGUGGAAGGCAAUUUUAUGAGAAGCACCUUCUCAGCCUUGUCCAUCUUGAGAAGGGCUGCCCCACUCCUUAGGGCCAACCUCCGCCUGGCCUGCCCCGCCUCAGUCCUCUCCUCCUAAGACUCAUCUUGCUGGCUGUGGUUCACAGCCACCUUGUCAUCUUGCUAGGCAUUCCUUCCCCUUUCCCAGGCCAUCCCAGGGCUCUUCCCCUCCAGAAGCACCUCAAAUGGGAAUGAGAGGCUUUGCACAGAAACUCGGAGUCGGAGCACCGAGGAAUGCAUCUGCAAAUGUGGAAAAUUUCCCUUUUGCAUUCUCCCUAAACAUUUGACAAGAAUUAAAGUUUCCCCCAGGGGAACCAAUUUCACAUAUUGAAACCAAACUUUUUUCCUUCUUAUAUUCUCUCUCCCCCUCAGUCUCGGAUUCAAAAGGAAUGAUUUCCUCUGAAAUAAAGCCACUUGUGCUCCAAGGGCA
rnacentral:lncRNA from 1 species